rnacentral:rRNA from 1 species
AGCGAACGCUGGCGGCAGGCCUAACACAUGCAAGUCGAGCGCCCCGCAAGGGGAGCGGCAGACGGGAGAGUAACACGUGGGAACGUACCCUUUGGUUCGGAACAACCCAGGGAAACUUGGGCUAAUACCGGAUAAGCCCUUACGGGGAAAGAUUCAUCGCCGGAGGAUCGGCCCGCGUCUGAUUAGCUAGUUGGUGGGGUAACGGCCCACCAAGGCGACGAUCAGUAGCUGGUCCGAGAGGAUGAUCAGCCUCACUGGGACUGAGACACUGCCCAGGCUUCUGCUGGAGUCAGCAGUGGGGAAUAUUGGACAAUGGGCGCAAGCCUGAUCCAGCCAUGCCGCGUGGGUGAUGAAGGCCCUAGGGUUGUAAGGCCCUUUCGGCGGGGAAGAUAAUGACGGUACCCGCAGAAGAAGCCCCGGCUAACUUCGUGCCAGCAGCCGCGGUAA